GACAGGCCGUUCUCCCUGCGGUCACAUCAAUCCCAGCGCACAGCCAGCACUUGGCUGGCAAUAGCCAUCGCUCCAGGGAUACCAACCCCCCACGGCAACGGCAACGCCGUUCCCUGGGAGACAUCCCCACACAGCCACCCCCGGCAAUGUCAACCCCUCCGUCAACCUCCAAUGGCGAUGUCCCUGGGAGACAUCCGCACACACAACGGCACGCACAAUGUCAACCCCUCCACAACCACCACCACCAGGGAUAUCAACCUCUGAUUGUGACAUCAACCCCUCCACAGCCAUCCCCCCUGAGAGGAUAUCAACCUCCCAUGGCGAUGUCCCUGGGAGAAGUGAUGUCAAUCCCCCACCCCCCGAGUCACCUUACAGGAGAUGUCUACCCUCUCCAAAAGCCUCCCUAUGGGGACAUGGGGACACGGCUACAGGAGACAUGCCCCCACUGACAACCUCCCUGGGGUGACGCCAACACAUCCAACGUCACCCACCUCAGCAUGUCAACCUGGCCACAGAAGACACCCAAACACCUUCCUCAUGGCUCACGGACCAUGGAGGAGAGCGGCGACCCCUCCAGCACGGCAAGGCCGCGCAUUCAGUGCUGCCCCUCGGACUCCACCACAGAUGACGGCAGUGCCCAGGACAACUGUGCCCCGCCUGCCCCUGCCCGCUCCCCGACCUGUGCCCGCUGCCGCAACCACGGCAUCCGGGUCCUGCUCAAGGGCCACAAGAAGGGCUGCCAGUUCCAGGGCUGCCAGUGUGACAAGUGCAUCCUCAUUCUGCAGCGCCGGCGUGUCAUGGCUGCCCAGGUGGCCCUGCGCAGGCAGCAGGAGACGGAGCUGAGGAAGCAGCUGGCCAGAGGUUUGCUGCGGCUCAGGGAUGGCUCUGCCGUGGCCUCUCUGGGCUUGGCCAAUCCCCACGAAGGGGCCAAGCCAAAGGAGCGAGCAGCCGCAGCCGCAAAGGAAAAUGCAGAGCCGGGCUCCACGGCUGGACCUACCCAUCAGGGGACUGCAGGGCCCACCGGCCACCGGAGUCACCAACCUGCCAGAAGGGAAAGCCCUUGGCUGCCUCUUCCCCACCAGCCUGAGGUGACUCAGCUGCCCUGGCCCCUUGGAGAAUGCCAGCCACCCUACGCACCUUGGUUCCUGCCAGCUCUUCCCCUGCCCCCACCCGUCCUCUGCCAGGUGUUGCCCCAGGAGCCUCCCCUUUGCUUCACAGCUCACCCAGGUUGUGAUGGCGGCAAGGUGACACAUGCCCCAGGGGGUCUCGUGGCAGUCCCAGGACGGCUGUUCCAGCAGGCACCAAGCCCCCCCUGGUUCCCACCAGCAGCCUCUGCAUCCACUGAACUGCUUGGCCGCCUGGCGCUGAGUCCCUUGGAUGGGAACAUGGAUUUGAGCAGCCACCUGGAGUCGACACUGCCAGGAGCCCAGCCUCCUUUCUCCGCGGCUCACCUCCCGCUCAGGUGUACCAGGGGGCUUGUCUUCUCUCCCGUCUCCGAAGAGCAGCUGCAGAAGGAGGCUGCCGAGGCCUUGAUGGUGCUGAGAAAUUCCCCCCAGCUGGCCCCCUCUGCUGCCAUGCCAGACUUCCUGCCCCUCACUGGCACUGCACCCCCCAUGCCGGCCUUUCCUGCUUUCACCCCUCCUCCUGGAGACCCCGGGAACAUGGGGGCGUCUGAUCCCACCCAGCAGCAGGCCCUGAAGGCCCCUGGGGACAAGGCUUUGCCAGCUGAGCUGGCUGGCGCUGGUGGGCAGCAGGGCUCGGGACGUGUGCUCCCCGGUUUGCUGCGCUGCAGGACUCUUCCUCAGUCACGCAAGAACUUCCGCCUGGUCUCGACAGCGCCACCCUGGGGGCCCCAGGCAGCCACAACCCUGAUGGUUUCCAACAUCCAGGUCUUCAAACCUGGUUCCAGCCCCCGGGGGGUUCCCAACCAGGAUGCCCCCCAUCCCGCCCCUUCUGACUCCCUGGGCUCCACUGCACAGACCCUCUGCAUGGCACAGGCUGCGGAUCCCGGUGGGAUUCCAGAGACAGCUGCGUCCGCCCCGGAUCCAGCUCGCGCUGCCUCUGCUCUCAGCAGCCCUCGGUCCCUGCCCUUGUGCGCCCCUCCCACAGAAAUGCCCAUCUCCCCGCUGCCCACGCAAAGCCCCCCUGUCAUGGUGGAAGUGCACACGCUCCCCAGCCUGUCCUUACUGACUCCCAGCCCAUGCCUCAUUACCCACCAGCCCCUCCCAGACACUGUGCUUGCCCCAGGGUUCAAGGCCCAGCAGGGCCCUGCGAGCCAGGGGAGCGGCCGUGGCAGCAAGGGGCAGGUGGCAGAGGAGAGCAGCAGAAGCAGGGCACCUGGGACCUGGGGCCUGGCAGAAAGUUGGCAACCCUAGACCGGAGUCUGGAUUAGAGCCAGCAGCCCCUGGAAGGGACAAGCUGCACACCCCAUUUCCUGCCCCCUGCAACCAGCCAGCCUUCUCCCCUGGGACUGGUGGGGACCGGUGCCUGUAUCCCAUUUCCAUGAACCACUCAGGAUCCCGCCACAGCAAGGACUGGCUUCCUCGUCCCCAAGCAGACACGCAGCGUCUCCAUCCAGGGGGCCUCGCCCAGCCUCACCUGCUCCUCCAGCCCAGCGCCUCUCCAUCCGCCACACUGAGCAUCGGCCAGCUGAG